CAUGCUGGAGAGGCAGAAUGACCAAUGCAACAUACAUCCUACAAUCUGCAGGCCUCUGCCCCUCAAGGACCCAUCUUCACUCAGAAUAGCACGUCUGAAAACCAUCUGGGAAUAACAAGGUGAAGGCCCACACCUGCAGAGCACAGACGUCCCUUAGGCUGCUACCACAGGGAAAAGGCACUGUCCACCGGGAGAGAAGUCUGUGCCUGACCCAUGACCUUUAUUCGAUAGCUAGACUGCACCUGAUUUUGAAAAUAGCGAAACCUCAAUCAUAGCAGAUACGGGAUAUUCUGACAUCUGUUCUCGUUGCUUCUUUACCAUCGGAAUCUUCCACCCUGCAAAAUACCAUCUUUGCCAUAAGUUUAAGAGGGUGUGCCAACCCUUCUCUAAGUAUAAAAUC
rnacentral:lncRNA from 1 species